rnacentral:rRNA from 1 species
GUGUCAGCCGCCGCGGUAAUACGGAGGGUGCAAGCGUUAUCCGGAUUCACUGGGUUUAAAGGGUGCGUAGGUGGGCAGGUAAGUCCGCGGUGAAAUCCCCGAGCUUAACUUGGGAACUGCCGUUGAUACUAUCUGUCUUGAAUAUCGUGGAGGUAAGCGGAAUAUGUCAUGUAGCGGUGAAAUGCUUAGAGAUGACAUAGAACACCAAUUGCGAAGGCAGCUUGCUACACGAUAAUUGACACUGAGGCACGAAAGCGUGGGGAGCAAACAGGAUUAGAAACCCGCGUAGUCC